AUUGAACGCUGGCGGCAUGCCUAACACAUGCAAGUCGAACGGCAGCACAGUAUGUAGCAAUACAUAUGGGUGGCGAGUGGCGGACGGGUGCGUAAUAUGUAGGGAUCUGCCCUGAAGCGAGGGACAACCCGGGGAAACCCGGGCUAAUACCGCAUAAUACUCUACGGAGGAAAUCUGGCACGCAAGUGCUGGGGCUUUAGGAUGAACCUACAUCCGAUUAGCUAGUUGGUGAGGGAAUAGCUCACCACGGCAAUGAUCGGUAGCUGGUCUGAGAGGAUGACCGGCCACACUGGGACUGAGACACGGCCCAGACUCCUACGGGAGGCAGCAGUGGGGAAUAUUGGACAAUGGGGGAAACCCUGAUCCAGCAAUGCCGCGUGGGUGAAGAAGGCCUUCGGGUUGUAAAGCCCUUUAGGCGGGGAAGAAGGUUAUAGGGUGAUAAGCCUUAUAGCUUGACGGUACCCGCAGAAUAAGCACCGGCUAACUCUGUGCCAGCCGCCGCCGUAA
rnacentral:rRNA from 1 species